UACAGAGGGUGCAAGCGUUGUUCGGAAUUACUGGCGUAAGCGCGUGUAGGCGGUCUUCAAGUCCUGUGUGAAAGCCCUGGGCUCAACCCAGGAAGUGCGCAGGAUACUGAUUGACUGGAGUGGCGGAGAGGAUGGCGGAAUUCCGGUGUAGAGGUGAAAUUCGUAGAUAUCGGGAGGAACACCUGUGGCGAAGGCGGCCUCUGGACGUUCACUGACGCUGAGACGCGAAAGCGUGGG
rnacentral:rRNA from 1 species